GACGAACGCUGGCGGCGUGCUUAACACAUGCAAGUCGAACGGAAAGGCCCUGCUUUUGUGGGGUGCUCGAGUGGCGAACGGGUGAGUAACACGUGAGUAACCUGCCCUUGACUUUGGGAUAAAUUCAGGAAACUGGGGCUAAUACCGGAUAGGAGCUCCUGCUGCAUGGUGGGGGUUGGAAAGUUUCGGCGGUUGGGGAUGGACUCGCGGCUUAUCAGCUUGUUGGUGGGGUAGUGGCUUACCAAGGCUUUGCCGGGUAGCCGGCCUGAGAGGGUGACCGGCCACAUUGGGACUGAGAUACGGCCCAGACUCCUACGGGAGGCAGCAGUGGGGAAUAUUGCACAAUGGGCGGAAGCCUGAUGCAGCAGCGCCGCGUGCGGGAUGACGGCCUUCGGGUUGUAAACCGCUUUCGCCUGUGACGAAGCGUGAGUGACGGUAAUGGGUAAAGAAGCACCGGCUAACUACGUG
rnacentral:rRNA from 1 species